rnacentral:rRNA from 1 species
GGCGGUGCGCCUUAUGCAUGCAAGUCGAGCGAAGCUUUUCAGUAGUUUACUACAGAAAAUGACUGAGCGGCGAACGGGUGAGUAACGCGUGAGCAAUCUACCUUAGUUACAGGGAUAGCCCGAGGAAACUCGGAUUAAUACCUGAUAUUCUUUAUAUUUCGCAUGAAAUUAAAAGGAAAGGUCAGCCGAACUAAGAUGAGCUCGCGUUCUAUCAGCUAGUUGGUGAGGUAAAAGCUCACCAAGGCUACGACGGAUAGCUGGUCUGAGAGGACGAUCAGCCACACUGGGACUGAGACACGGCCCAGACUCCUACGGGAGGCUGCAGCAGGGAAUAUUGCGCAAUGAGCGAAAGCUUGACGCAGCGACACCGCGUGUGGGAUGACGGAUCUAGGUUUGUAAACCACUUUCAGGAGGGAAGAAAAUGACGGUACCUCCACAAGAAGCCCCGGCCAACUACGUGCCAGCAGCCGCGGUAAUACGUAGGGGGCGAGCGUUGUCCGGAUUUAUUGGGCGUAAAGAGCUCGUAGGCGGUUCAACAAGUCGGUCGUGAAAGUUCAGGGCUCAACCCUGAAAUGUCGAUCGAUACUGUUGUGACUAGGAUACGGUAGAGGUGAGUGGAAUUCCGAGUGUAGCGGUGAAAUGCGUAGAUAUUCGGAGGAACACCAAUUGCGAAGGCAGCUCACUGGGNNNNUAUCGACGCUGAGGAGCGAAAGCUAGGGGAGCAAACAGGAUUAGAUACCCUGGUAGUCCUAGCUGUAAACGAUGGAUACUAGACGUAGGAACUGGAUUGACGGUUUCUGUGUCGCAGCUAACGCGUUAAGUAUCCCGCCUGGGGAGUACGGUCGCAAGACUAAAACUCAAGGAAUUGACGGGACCCCGCACAAGCGGCGGAGCAUGCGGCUUAAUUCAAUGAUACCCGUAGAACCUUACCUGGACU